GUUUUCUAAUGUAACCUUGGCAAACCCUAGAAAUUAGCAGAAAUAAACUUGUGUAGAUCUGGUUGAGCAAAUCACUUCCCCUUGAUGCACCACUUGGUUUAGUAGCCUCAUUUGGUCAUGUGAAUAUUCUAACAAAAGUUGGGAUCAAGGAGAGAAAGUUGGUAGUACAAAGUUGUUCAAAUUUGAUUCUGGUCAGAGAGGGUUUUGGGACAUUUUGGUGAGACAAAAUGACCUUGAUUUUAUAUGAGGCUUUGCAAGGCGAUCACAAAAUAUGCAUUCGUGACUUGCUGGAUUUUCCCUGGAUUUUUAUGAAAAUAUUUCCUGUAGAAAUAUUUCAAAUCCUUGAAAUGGGCAUAAAUGGUUUUGGGAGGUUUUGUCCAAUAUUUUGAACAUGACCAUGUGUUGAAACUCUUAUAUAUGGAAAAUAUAUGUCCACUGAGUUUCCCUGAUUUUUGUCAAAUAUUUUUGAAACAAUAAAAUAAUUUUUCCCUAUUAAAGACCAUUUCUGGCCUUAAGAAAAAGCUUUUAAAUAAAAUAGGAAAAUAACUUUUAAAAAUAUAUUUGUGUGGUUUAUGGGAGUCCUAUAUCUAAUAGGAUUCAAAUAUACCUUUUGAAAGAUUUUUCACACCCCAAAUCAAGUACUGCAGUGCAAACCUCAAUUCAUGGGUUUUGGAAAACUAAUUUUGGAAAAUAAUUUUUGGCCAAAUUAUUUUUGUAAGAAAAUACUAUAUUGCUCUAUACACAUGGCAUGAUCAUUGGGCAGAAGCUUGGGGCAAGGAGAUGAGGUAUAGAAGGUGGAGUUUUUGACUAUAAAGAGCACUUGAAAACCACAAAGAGAAAACCAACUCAAAAAUAAAAGACAAAUAAUGCAAAAGUUUUUGCCAAACCACACUUUCUCAUGAUUUAUUAGCUUAAGUGUUGUGGCAUGAAAAUCAGGGUGUGACGGACCUACCCCCCUUACAAGAAUCUCAUCCCCGAGAUUCCCAAACUAGGCGUGGAAAGGAAUACAAAAACUGGACCUAGGGUAGUCUUCACGUUCUCAUACUGCUUGUGCCUCCGAGUGGUGCUUCAUUGAACCUUGAAGUACUCAAUGGCGUGGUGUCGGUGUCAAAACCAGCGGAUCUCGGGUAGGGGGUCCCGAACUGUGCGUCUAGGUCGGAUGGUAACAGGAGGCAGGGGACACGAUGUUUUACCCAGGUUCGGGCCAUCUUGAUGGAGGUAAAACCCUACGUCCUGCUUGAUUAAUAUUGAUGAUAUGGGUAGUACAAGAGUAGAUCUACCACGAGAUCAGAGAGGCUAAACCCUAGAAGCUAGCUAUGGUAUGAUUCUUGUUCGUCGUCCUACGGACUAAAACUCUCCGGUUUAUAUAGACACCAGAGAGGGCUAGGGUUACACAGAGUCGGUUACAAUGGUAGGAGAUCUACAUAUCCGUAUCGCCAAGCUUGCCUUCCAUGCCAAGGAAAGUCCCUUCCGGACACGGGACAAAGUCUUCAAUCUUGUAUCUUCAUAGUCCAGGAGUCCGACUGAAGGUAUAGUCUGGCCAUCCGGACACCCCCUAAUCCAGGACUCCCUCAGUAGCCCCUGAACCAGGCUUCAAUGACGACAAGUCCGGCGCGCAGAUUGUCUUCGGCAUUGCAAGGCGGGUUCCUCCUACAAGUACUUCAUAGAAGAUUUUGAACACAAAGGUAGUGUCCGGCUCUGCAAAAUAAGUUUCCACAUAUUGCCAUAGAGAGAAUAAUAUUUACACAAAUCUAAUCUGCUGACGUAUUCCGUAGCGUGACAUCACACCAUGGCCAAGUCUUUAUUCGAAUCGUUUUACUGUCCCACCUCAGCGCGUUUAGCGAGGCGGUUUCCUUGGCACGUCUUGUUAAAGCAGAGAUCGUGUCCCCUUAUUCCGGGAUUCUCAUCAAUACGGGUGUGGGUAACCCAACCGCGCCAUUGACUAUGGCGAUUGGGAGAUAAGCGAGUUUUACCAGGCUGGUGGGGGCGCAUAGUUGCGUUCGCCCAUAUAAGGGGAUAAGGAUCCACCUUUUCAUCCACGCCUUCUUUCUCCUUUGCCUAUCCAUUUCCGCGCACUCGAGCUCCAGCGCCCAAGUCCGCACACCCCACCUCAACCUUCCCCAGCCAUGUCCGAAGCGGGAGGCAAGUGGAUGGUCUCCUCCGUCACGGAGGGACACAUCAAAAAACUGAGGAAGGCUGGAUACUUGUCUAACGACAUUGCGCACCGGCUUCCCGAAGAGGGGCAGCUCAUCCCCACCCCUAGGCCCCAUGAGAGGAUGGUGUUCCUCCCCCAUUUCCUCCGCGGACUGGGCUUCCCUCUCCACCCAUUUGUCCGGGGGAUCAUGUUCUACUAUGGCCUGGAUUUCCAUGAUCUGGCCCCAAACUUUGUCCUCAAUAUCUCGGCGUUUAUCGUCGUGUGCGGGGCUUUCUUCUACAUCCGCCCCCAUUUCGGCCUAUGGCUCAAGACUUUCAACGUCAAGCUGAAGGUGGUGCGUGGCACUCAGGCGGAGUGUGGAGGCGCCAUGGUGGGCAAGAUGCCCAACGUCCUAUGGCCCGAGGGCUCCUUCGUGGAGUCCCUAAAGGGGUGGCAAUCGGGGUGGUUUUACAUCACCGAGCCGCGCGACCCUGAAUGGGUCGCAGCCCCCAAGUUCUGAUCCGGACCCCCUACGCGGCUCACCUCCUAGAAAGAGACGGGCCUGUCGUGGGGUAAAGAAGGAGAGCUGACCGGACUCCAAACAUGCGUCCAAACCCUGGUGGACAAGAAGCUCUAACUUGUCAACGUAGUCCAGGUUAUGCUCAUCCGCCGGAUCCUCCCGUGUCAACAACGGGCUUUCAACCUAUGGGAGUUCGACCCGGCGCAGCACCGAACUCUGAGCAGGCUCUUCGACACGACGUACGAAGAUGCCUAGAAGGUGCUUUUCAAGGGCGCCGAGGCCCCCGCAUCCGCCACCAAGGAUCACGGAUUCAGCAUGCAGCGUCGCGCUCGUGCGGUAAGCUAUUUUUACCUUUUACAGGGUAUUAGUUCUUCAUAGUUUGACUCUAUGCGGGAUCUAAGCUCCCUUACCUUUGACAGGAUUGGCAGGAGACGUCCGGACAGAUCAACUGUCCGGCUCCUUUGCCCGAAGGUCCAGCGGACGCUCGCUUGGCGAAGCUGCUGGUUCCGGCACCCUAUGUGGUGUCGGAGAAGAAGGCCAAGAAGAAGGCCACGGGGACUCGAAAGAGUGCCCGGUGCCUGGGGGCGUCAGAUUCAUCAUCCGAUGACUCCAAGACGCACUCCUCCCGUGAAGACGAGGAGGAGGAAGAAGAGACCUCUCCCCCUCCAGCGGGGGGAGAGAAGAAAAGGAAGGUCGCCCCAACUGGGGAGGCCGAAGGGUCCACGAAGGGGAAAACCCUUCCUCCGGACGGCCCCACCAACACCGACGACGACGAAGAGGAGUGGCCGCACAGGGCCAAGCCCCUGGCGAGAUCGUAAGUGUCCGGAUACCAGAGUGAUUCAUAGUAUUCCUCCAUUGCACAGCUUUUCCUUAUGUUGAACAUGUUUAUGCAGUUCGCCCAAGGCCGGGCUCGACAAGUCGUCGAGCGGCUCCCUGGAUUCGUCGGAUGUGAAUUCACUUCCGGCGGUUUCCUCCCCCCACCCUACGGACGACGCCGAGGUGGCGUCCCAACAGGUUCCAAGCCAGGAGGAGGUGGUCCUGGAGGUGCCGCAAGGUGACCUCCCGGAUUCUAGGCGUAGAGGGGAUAGAACCCCCAAGGGCACCGCGCCGGAACCUUCAACGGUUCCGGACUCCGGUAGGCAGCCUCCUUCCAAGAGGGGCAAGCCUACCGAGCCGGUGACCUCCGUCCAACCGGAGGCACCGGACAAUUUGCUGGAGGUGCUUAAAGGCGCCUCCAUCAACGAGGGGCACCGCACUAUUAUGAGUGCGAUGAUCGAGAAGGUUCAGCCCGUCAAGAGCGGACUGACUGAAGCCUGUGCCAGCCUUCUAACAGGCUUUGAGGUAAGUAAAGAAUAAAAAUAUUACCGCAUAGACAGUAGCCCCUGAUGCUCUGUUCGGUGUUCGGAAAGAAAAGCCGAAUAGAGGAUCUAAUGACAUUCUCAGGAGUCUAACAUAAUCAAGUCAAUAUGCGUAUGUAGGCUUCGCUGCUGGCCUCCGCCGCACUGACUGCGGAGGUGGAUACACUGAAGCAAAACCUCGCGCGGUCCGAGAACGAGCUCGGCCAUGCCAAGAGGCAACUCAAGGAGAAGGAAGGUAAGUAAUACCUUGCGCAAUUAUAUAGAGAAGAUGUGGUUGCAAAAAAUGACAGGAUCAACGUGCUAUUAUAGGGGCCACGACCGAGGUGGCAGCCCUUAAGCAAGCGCUGUCCGAGGCCGAAAACAGAGCAGCCAGGGAGCGCAUGGAGAGAGAGAAGCAGGAGGUGCGGGUGGAGGAGGUGCAGAAAGAGCUCCAGGCUCUCGUGAAAAAACACAAGAGUUUGGAGCUUGACUCAAAGACGCAAGCGUCCGAGCUUGCGGCAGCCCUCAAAAGCGCGAAGUCUGGCCAGGCCGAAGCCCAGAAAGCCCUCAAAGAAAUUGACAUGAUGAAGAAGAUAGUGGCGGGUAAGGCAUUCAUUAUGCAGAGCAAGCACGUGAAAGUUAAUUACUUGUUACUUACCCGAGUCCGGAGCUCUCCAGGAGCAUUCGCAGAUUUGCCCUGCAGUGCGUCUGAUGCCGCCGCCUACUACCGAGCUAAGGAGGGGAGCUCGACGGAGAAGGUGUUCUGGUCUUAGUAUGCUAAGGCUGGACACCUGGUGCCUCUGAGCGACCAGCUAAAGCAAAUGGUCGAGCUCCACAAGGUGGCCGAACAGGCCAUAAAGGGCCUCGUAGUUCGGCUUUGGCCUGGAGAGGCUCUGCCUAGGAGCUACUUCGGGCUGGUGAGGCGGCUGGUGGAUGCCUGUCCACGGCUUGAAGUAAUCAAGCGCUGCGUCUGCAUCGAAGGUGCCCGUAGGGCGCUUGCCCGUGCGAAAGUGCACUGGGGCAAGAUGGAUGCGGAGAAGCUGGUGAAGGACGGGCCGCCGUCGGGCAAGGAGCAUCGCGUCCCGGAAGUGUAUUAUGAGGGCGUCCUGAAGGGUGCCCGCCUUAUAGCGGAUGAAUGCUCCAAAGAUGUAAUUUUUGAGUAAACUCACAUUUGUGAUCCUGUACGCUGAAAACUUGUUCAUAUGCGCUAAGCAACUCUUUUGAAUUUAAAACAUUACCUUCUAUGCUACCGUUUCUCAAAUUUGAGAGAUGGCGAGUUGUCGGCUUCUGCCCCCAUACCACGAGUGCUGGGGUGUUCGGGAUAAACAUGAGCGCUCUUUUUCCCAUUCUUGGGUCCUUCGAGGGAGGCGCUCAACAUAACGAACAAGGCAAUCAGACUAUAUUGCUUGAACACUCUCACUUAGCCAUAGAAUUCUAUAAUUUUAAAUUACGGCGAAGCCCCUAGUGUUCGGAAGACCGAGUUCGGGGCGCUAUCCACGCCUAGGCCGGACAAAGUCGACUCCUCACUCUAAGCGGCAUAAGUCUUUAGGGACUCGAAAACCUCUCGAACAGUGACCAGCUCUCGCCUCAUCAUGAUGGUCAGUUUUAGCUUUCUCUACUGAGGUGCUUAGCCCAGAUCAACUGGGUCACAAUCGCAGUAGUUCUCCUAGUGCUACCUUAGCCGAUAUAACGGAAUGUAAGGUACCAAAACAUAGGAGCCGGUCAAACCCAACUAUUGACCCAAGACAUGAUUCGGAGCCGAUGCAUAUAAUGCUAUAAGUUCGGGGUGCCGCACUUGUUAAAGUGUGCGGACUUCUCACACCGUAUUGUGGGGUACUUAAGCCCCUGGCGUAUUGGCUGUACCAAAGUGUACGGGUGCAACAUGUCAUUAAUGAACAUAUAUUCGUAAAAAAAGGUAAUGCAAUAAUAGACGGAAGCUAUGCAUUGUUUAUUAAAAAAGCUGCGAUCAAAGCAGAAUGAUACAAAUAGUGCAAUAAGCAAAAGAUGGGACUAUUUAACAUGUCCUUUCCAGGGGUGAGCUGCGGAAUGACAUGUGAAACAAGUAUACUACUCGUUAUAGAGACCACCUUAGAGUUCCAUAGCGCAGCGUAGCUUUCUGCUUCCCUGGUUGUAUCAUUUGUGCGGCAAUUGUACUGCCGGACAAGCCUUCCGAAGAAUGGAGUCCUGAAAAUAAGAGAAAAUUUAAGAAAUCGGCAGCCCCUAGUGCGGUUUAAGCCGCGUUUCGGGCAUGCCGUGAUGGUGCCCUUUCCCCUGUGCCCAUGGUAUUUCUAGAGCAUAGUUAUGUACGCGCAACACUGGUUUCACAAGUUCGCGAGGGCUGGGGUUGGGGCCGCAUUGCUACACUUGCUCGGAACAUGCCAGGUGGUCUUGUUGUAGGUUACUCCGGGCGCGCUUGACGGUGUCUGGACGUUUAAUGGCCGGACUGGAGAAUUGCCUUGAGAGGCUGCUUUCUACUUCCGCUGCGAUAGCCGCCGUAUGCUCCUCCGUUCGGAGAGAGCGUUCGGUGUUUCCAUUGACCGUGAUGACACCACGAGGGCCUGGCAUCUUGAGCUUGAGGUAUGCGUAGUGCGGCACCGCAUCGAACUUGGCAAAUGCGGUUCGCCCGAGCAGUGCGUGAUAGCCACUGCAGAACGGGACUAUGUCGAAGAUUAACUCCUCGCUUUUAAAAUUAUCCGGAGAUCCGAAGACCACUUCAAGUGUAACUGAGCCUGUACAGUUGGCUUCUACACCUGGUAUGACGCCUUUAAAGGUCGUUCUGGUGGGUUUAAUCCUCGAGGGAUCGAUGCCCAUUUUCCGCACUGUAUCCUAAUAAAGUAGGUUCAGGCUGCUGCCGCCGUCCAUAAGGACUCUAGUGAGAUGAAAUCCGUCGAUAAUUGGGUCUAGAACCAAUGCGGCGAAUCCGCCAUGACGGAUGCUAGUGGGGUGGUCCCUUCGAUCCAAAGUGAUCGGGCAGGAAGACCAUGGGUUGAACUUUGGGGCGACUGGCUCCAUCGCGUAUACUUCCCUUAGCACAUGCUUCCGCUCCCUCUUGGGGACGUGGGUUGCGCAUAUCAUGUUCACCGUCCGCACUUGUGGGGGAAAACCUUUCUGUCCACUGUUGUUCAGCGGCCGGGGCUCCUCCUCGUCAUCCCUAUGCAGCCCCUUGUCUCUGCUUUCGGCAUUUAACUUGCCUUCUUGCUUGAACACCCAACAAUCCCUGUUGGUGUGACUGGCUGGUUUUUCGGGGGUGCCAUGUAUCUGGCAUGAGCGGUCGAGUAUUCGGUCCAAACUGGACGGGUCUGGAGUAUUUCUUUUGAAUGGUUUUUUCUGCUGACCGGGUUUAGAGCCUUUGAAUCCGGCAUUAACUGUCGUAUCCUCAGCAUUGUCGCCGUUAAUGCGGCGCUUUUGGUUGUUGCGACGCGACCUGCCACUGCUGUCCUUGGUAUCCAAAUUACCAGGGCUCUUGGUCAUGUUAUUGCUGCGAGCUAGCCAACUGUCUUCUCCCGCGCAAAAGUGGGUCAUAGGUGUCGUGAGGGCUGCCAUAGAUUUCGGCUUUUCCUGUCCUAGGUGCCGUGCAAGCCACUCGUCGCGGAUGUUAUGCUUGAAGGCUGCUAGGGCCUCUGCGUUCGGACAGUCGACGAUUUGAUUUUUCUUGGUUAGGAACCGUGUCCAGAAUUGUCUGGCCAAUUCCUCUGGUUGCUGAAUUGUGUGGCUUAGGUCAUCGGCGUCUGGUGGUCGCACAUAAGUGCCCUGGAAAUUGUUGAGGAAUGCGGCUUCCAGGUCCUCCCAACAACCAAUUGAUUUUGCUGGCAAGCUGUUAAGCCAAUGCCAGGCUGGUCCUUUAAGCUUGAGUGGGAGGUAUUUGAUGGCGUGUAGGUCAUCACCGCGGGCCAUGUGGAUAUGAAGGAGAUAGUCCUCGAUCCAUACCGCAGGAUCUGUUGUGCCAUCGUAUGAUUCGAUGUUCACGGGUUUGAAACCCUCGGGGAUUUGAUGAUCCAUUACUUCAUCUGUGAAGCAGAGUGGGUGUGCGGCGCCUCUGUAUUGGGCUACAUCACGACGCAACUCAAACGAUUUUUGUCUACUGUGUUCGGCCCGGCCGGAUUUACUGUAUCCGGCGUGACGAGUACCGUCUCGUGCCGUGGGGCGCCCACGUGAUCCGUAGAUCAAUCUUGUUUGCCUUGCCUUGUCCUCCAAUAUAUCUCGCAGGUCUGGCGCAUUUUCCCAUGCCUUGGUAUUUUUUGAGCGGCGCCGGGGUGCGACUUGAGUGGAGGGCCGAGAGGCCUCUUUGUCGCGGCCACGGGGUGGCCGGUCGGCUGCAUCAUGCGCUGGUGAUGUAGGUUUAAGUGCUUCCUCCUCUAAUUGGGGUAGCAACCUGCGCUUUGGGUAGCUCUUGGAGGGGCGUUCGAGUUCAUACUCUUCGGCCGCGAGGACUUCAGUCCAUCUGUCGGCUACAAAUCUUGACCAGCUCUAAGCUGUUGCUGUUUUUUCUUGAGGCUGCUCGCCGUGGACAUAAGCCUGCAUUUGAAACGCUCUUGUUCGACGGGGUCCUCCGGCACGACAAAUUCGUCGUCGUCGAGGCUUGCCUCGUCUUCGAAGGGAGGCAUAUAAUUAUCGUCCUCGACCUCUCUGUCUGCCGCUCUCUCAUGAGGGCUGGCUUCUCUAUCCUCCUAUGCUGAAUCUUGCUGGAGGUGGUUGUCUUCGGCACUGUCCGGGGUGUUAUUAUCUCCCGUGCCGAACUCACCGUUUUUGUUUUGGCGGGAUUUAGAGCGGUGCCGCUGACGCCGACGCUUAGGCUGCUACUUGGAGGGGUCAUCCUCCGCUGUUCCAUCGCCAUUGCCUUCUUUUGGGGUGUCCACCAUGUAUAUAUCAUACGAAGAGGUGGCUUUCCAGUGCCAUAUAGGCGCUGGUUCUUGAUCGUCUCCUGCAUCGGUGUCCAUAUCGUCGAUGUCUUCGGAGUCGAAGUCGAGCAUGUCGGUUAAAUCAUCGACAGUGGCUACGAAGUGGGUGGUGGGUGGGCUUUGAAUUUCUUCAUCAUCCGCAUCCCAACCUUGCCGACCAUAGUCCGGCCAGGGCUCUCCUGACAAAGAGAGAGACUUUAGUGAAUUCAGAAUAUCGCCAAAGGGCGAGUGCUGAAAGAUGUCUGCGGUGGUGAACUCCAUGAUCGGCGCCCAAUCGGGCUCAAUCGGUCGGGGUGUGGAGGGCUCGGAGUCUGGAGAGGAGUCCAGCUCCUUGGAGUCACGGGCUUCACAAAGAAUAGGGCUGGUGUUUGGCUCGAUCGUCGUAGAGAUUGCAGCCCCCGAGGCGGUGUCUAACCACCCAUCCUCGAUUGGUGUGAUCAGCUCCGAGCUAGAGGUCGGAGCGGACACAGGUGCGGCCUCCAGGGCACUGUUCGGCGGCAGAGCUAAAUCAUGCCUAUCAUGACAGUGCGGCGCGCUCGGCUGUGGCUCGAAUCGGCCGAGGAUCAAGUCUCCGCGGAUGUCGGCCGUGUAGUUCAAACUUCCAAAUCUGACCUGAUGGCCAGGGGCGUAGCUUUCGAUCUGCUCCAGAUGACCAAGUGAAUUGGCCCGCAGUGCAAAGCCGCCGAAUACGAAGAUCUGUCCGGGAAGAAAAGUCUCACCCUGGAUCGCAUCGCUGUUGAUGAUCGGAGAAGACAUCGGGCCUAAAAGUGACGACAGAGAGGAACUCUCAAUGAAAGCACCAAUGUCGGUGUCAAAACCGGCGGAUCUCGGGUAGGGGGUCCCGAACUGUGCGUCUAGGUCAGAUGGUAAUAGGAGGCAGGGGACACGAUGUUUUACCCAGGUUUGGGCCCUCUUGAUGGAGGUAAAACCCUAUGUCCUGCUUGAUUAAUAUUGAUGAUAUGGGUAGUACAAGAGUAGAUCUACCACGAGAUCAGAGAGGCUAAACCCUAGAAGCUAGCCUAUGGUAUGAUUGUUGUUCGUCGUCCUACGGACUAAAACUCUCCGCUUUAUAUAGACACUGGAUAGGGCUAGGGUUACACAGAGUCGGUUACAAUGGUAGGAGAUCUACAUAUCCGUAUCGCCAAGCUUGCCUUCCACGCCAAGGAAAGUCCCUUCCGGACACGGGACGAAGUCUUCAAUCUUGUAUCUUCAUAGUCCAGGAGUCCGGCCGAAGGUAUAGUCCGGCCAUCCGGACACCCCCUAAUCCAGGACUCCCUCACGUGGCUUCGUGUAUGACGUCCUGCUUGGUCCAGGUUGCAAUUGGGAUCUCUCGCAUAGGUCAUAUUGGGCUGGAGGUCGAUGGCUUGGUGAUCGAUGUCCUUGUAGAGACCAGACUAGUUAGGAAGUUGGAAACAUUUUCGGAGUGGUGUUGUGUGGAAAAAUGUUGUGCACAGUGGGUGACUCAGGUGGUAACUCUAGCUGGUAGCUGUCUAUUCUUUAUCUUGCAGUGAUCUUGGAGAGGGCCGAUAAAUCUUGGUGUGAGCUUCCCUUUGACAUGGAAAUGUUUGGUUCCUUUGAGAGAAGUGGCUUGCAGAUACACCUGGUCUUCGACGAGAAAGUUCACUCCUUGACGAUAGUUCUUCCUCCUUGGCAUGGCGGUCUUCACAUGUUUCCUAACAAGCUGAAUGAUUCUUCUUCCAUCUUCAGUUAGACAAGUAGGUCACCAAGUAAAAGUGACAACCAACAUGACCAAGUACUCCAUGAAGUUUCUAUUCAUGGGGUACAUAAGGUAGGCUCGGGCAUUGGUGGUGGUAACGGUUGAGUAUGGCCCAAGGUGUUCUCGAUCUAGAGUCAAGACCCAUGGUCAUGAUACGACCAUGCUGUAGCUUGGUUGGGCUUAAGGGUUUCAAGGAUUCUAGGGUGCGAGUGAACGAUUAUCUUAUCCUUGAGCACAAUUCCCGUGAUGCCAAUAGUCUAUCCAGUCCCUCAAACAAAUAACCUUAUACCACCGAAAGCAUUAUUUCGCAUAGGUCAAAUCCAACCAUCACUCAUGUGAUCCAUAUUCUCGUGACUCCCUAGAGGAGGUCUAACAAAAUCAUAUAUGUCUAUGAUCCCCAAACUCAUAUGUAUGGCUACCCCUAAAAAUCCGUGGGCAGAGCAUACAAGCUUCCAUGCGGGAAUAAACACAACAAUCCAAGUGCUCAUCCUAUUCUUCCAAGGUCCAUGUUAGUGUAUCUCUAUCCUAAGGAAACACGUCGUAUGCCACUCCAAAAUCUUGUUUCCUUCCUAUGAAUCAACUCCAACAACCCGUUAACUUCCAUUAAUCACUACAUAAUCCUUUAACUCUACAAAUCCUAGUGUCUAUGGUGUUCUACAUGAUCUCCUAAAGUUCAUAUAAUCCCCAAAUACUUGAAAGGGCUGUCUCUACUAUAAUAAGUCCACCAACUUCCAUGGUCAAAUAAACUCCAAGGUCAAGCUUAUAUCAACUCCGACAAUUAAUCCAAUCUCCUAGUUUAUUGUCCUCCAAGAAACAUGGUAUCAUGAUCGAGAUCAUCAUUCUAAAUCCAAUUUACUCCGAACCAUGUAUACUUACUCACCACCUAUACUCAACUAGGAUCACCUAUUUAAAUCCAAAUCUCAUGUCCAACGAGAAUUCCUACAUGUUUUCCCCAAGUCAUUUACGUGAUAUUAACUGUCUCCUAUCAAUAUCCCAUGGCUAAGUUAAAUCCAUAUACUUCCAAGAAUUCCAGCUUGCGAUCAUAAUUGUCCUACUAAAUCCAGUUUACUCAAGGGUAAGGAAAGCUAUGCUACUCCAUAAUCAUGAUCCCACCAAGUUCAUCUGCCAACAUGAAAGCCUCAUAAUCCACCAAAUAGUCUCAUAUAAUUCCUCAAAGUCAUUGAUAUAAACUCAUCAAGUCAUUUGUCCUCGAUUCCUAUAUACUCAAACUGGUCUUCCCUAUGGCAUCUUCAGUUCUUGUGCUAUAUUAGGAUGAUAAUGUGCUCAUUCCCUACGUCCACUAGUUCCAUAAUGAACCCAAUGUUGAGCGAGGUUACGGAGGCUUAAAUGGUUCUCUUGCAAUUCUGUGGGUUAAGCACGUGGUUAAGGAUUCGAGAUGGGUUAUCUCAUGAAGUCUCGAAGGGUCUAGGGAUGGGGUUCCAGUCAUGAGGGUUAAUACUACGGGAUUGCACUUGGUCGAGGAGGCUAUAGCAAAAGUCUUCAGUGUCAGUUGCUUGCCGAGGUGGAAUCAUUGGUGCAUUUUGUCUUGCUGGUCUUCAGAGAUUAGAGGGAGAAGUAGUAUAGAAGGGGGAUGCCUAAAAGGGGUUUUAUGGUGCAAGUGAAAACAAACAAGUGCCGUAAAGGCCACACACAAUUCCAUUAAGACAUGAUAGGUGAUAUAGUCGCGUACAAGAUGCCUAGGGCAAAUGUGCGACUUAUAUCAAAACACAAACAAAUAAAAGCAAGCAACACAGAACGUGGUUCCAUUCGAACCAUCACACAGACUCGACUAUGCAUAUGGGGGUACACGAUUCAUCCUACCCUAGGGGUUCUCGGACUUGGUAGUCGUGCUUACUAGGAGAGAAGGGCGUUCAGUCUUCAGUUUCUGGGUUCCCCUUGUGGUGCCAAUGGGUAUGUGACAGUCGGCCACCUGUUGGGACACAUCCUUUUAAUGUGCCCAAGUUCACCACACCCGUGACAAGUGACGAAAGCAAAAAGGUUGUCAUUCAGUCUUGGGUUAUGUCGUCAGUGGCCUGACGACGAUCUUCUACGAGGUGGAUAUGGAAAUUCAUUCCUAUGCCUCCCGCGUGGGGUUUGGUUGCGGGUUUUCCAAAGUUCCUCGAUUUGUUGCUCUUGAUUGGCAAUGUGGGCUUGUAGGGCAGUGAUUUUCUGUCCUCGCUCGACCACCUUCUUCUUCUCGAGGCAGUGGAGGUGCAGAAGUGAAGGGAGAUCUUGGCGAGCCUUAAGGAAUGCUUCGGUAAGGUGACGUAGAAGGUGGUCUCCUGCGUUAAUGAAGCGGAUCUGGUACUUGAGAGUUGGAUCCUCAUCUUCUGGGGAAAUCAUCACUUGAGUUGGGGCUCCAAAUCCGUUCUUGCCUGGUAGGUAGCGGGUGGCAUGUUCUUCUUUCAUUUCUGGAACGAGGUCUCGAAGACGGAGGAGUGCUUCAUAUGCCACUUGCUGAAUGGCCAUGUCUCUUGUUGGCAUGGGCGGCCCAAUAAAGAACCACCCCUGGGGUGAGGUCUUGGUAGGCACAAAAACCUUGGCGUAGAACUCCUUCUCGAGCACUUCAUUUUCCAGGUCAUGCAGGGUGUACAUGGGUAGCAAGGGAUAGUGGCAUUGUUGGAGGCAGUCUUUUAGGAGUGAUGGAAAUCCUGUCAUAAGGAGUCUCAAGGGGGCGACAACCAUCUACACAAUUUGAAUAGGGGAGGUCAAUAAGGAGAAAUAUCCCUUAGGUUUGGGAAAUCUCAGCAAAGAAGAGGAGUAUAGAGGGUCUUGCAAACGGGUUUUGUCCUAUCUAACACCCAUGCUAACUAAGGCUUACUACAGUCAGGAUGGCUCUGAUACCAGCUCUGUGGGGACCCCGACUCAUAAAUCGUGAUCACCGAAUGCAUGUGUACAGUGAUCCCAGAGAUCAAUGCUCACUGAACACACACAAGCUGAAUAACAAGAGUCUUACAUCCAUACAUAUCGUCUUACACAAAUUAUGACCAUUAUGGUCAAGUCUUACAUAGAUAAAUCCACAAGGGCUGAAUACCAAAUAAACUUUACCAGCGGAAAAUCUUCGUCGAUAAGUAGAACCCAUGCCAUCUGCCUUAACCCUACAGGCAUUCUGACUGGGAAACGUCCUAGUUCGCAUGUUCGUCUCCAAAGAACUCUUCUUUGAACUCCUGUUCUUCCAUGCCUGUCCAAUUAAAUAACCAGUGGCAAGCCAAUGAGUACUUUGAAUGUACUCGCAAGCAACCCAUGUUUUGUCUCAAGAUACAACAAUGCAUGACAUAAGUAAUUUUUUUGCAGAAAGCUAAUUUUGUUGUGUUAUGACAUGUUCAACAACUGGUAAAACAUGCAUCAUAUGAAUUCAAGUAACCUUAGGAACUGGUUACAUAUAUCAACAUAAAGGGAGUGGGCUCCAACCCAACUCAUCCAUGUCAAGUCCUUUCACUUGACCCAAGUAGUUCUUCCCACACACACUGGUUUGUAAACAAGUGACGUAGCCCAAGAGCGGUUACCCACCUGUCCUUGACCGUGGACACGGCUAUUCGAAUAGUUUUACACUCUGCAUAGGUUGCACACUUUACCCACAAGAUCCGGGGGAACUUCCGUGUCAUCCAUGACCUGUGGUACCUCAAGUACCCGGGGUAAGCAACCGAGCAUUACCUUUCCCUAGACGACACUAACAUAGAGUCCACUCAAUUAGUAGCAACCCCCGUGCCCAACAAUCUCAUCUUAAGAAUUUGGAGCCACGCUCCCAUAUUCAUCUCAUACCACAAGCACGGGGUAGCAUUGGUGUGUCCGGUGCAGUGUAAAAACAGUCAUGGCCACCCUACCUGGCACGACCCCAUCCCGAGAGAGCGCAACAACAACUCUCUCGUCACUAGUAAUGCAGGCUCCAAGCUAGUAUCAGCCUAGGUAAUCAAUAAUGCCCUUUCCCAUAUAAGGGUAGAGUGGUUGCGCAUGUAAGGUUGGAAUAACGGUCGCAAGUUAAACCAAUCCAUUUUGAAAACAACACACACACUUGCCUCGGUACACCACUUCGUCAUGAAGUGGUUACCCAACUCAUUAUCUCACUCGGGCAUAAGUGGCACCCGAUGGGUUUUUAAAAAGUUUUUGAAAACAAUCUUGCUUCCAUCACCAUGCAUAUACCCAGCCCAUUUGCGUAGCAGCUACUUAGCAUGCAUAACCCUCAUAGAAAGGUAGGGUCAUGCAUCAUGCAAGUCUCAAUGAGAAAACCAGCGGAGGUAAACCACCUCAAGUGGCCACCACAUUAUCAUGACUUCGAUGCAAGCAAUAAAAGUGCCAUAUGACAUGCAUAAAAAGGGUUUCUUAGACAUGGUCAAUGGGCUGCUUGCCUGGCUCAGCAAAGUCUUCUUUGGUCUUCAAAGUGUUUUGGUCCAACUCCUUCAUCGGCAACGCAAUCUAUCGUCGCAAAAUAAUAACGAGAAAAUAAGGCAAUAAUAAAACAAAAAAACCAAAGUGCUUAGAAAAAUGUCAACUCAUUUUUGUUAAAUACUAGGGUGAAAACUAAGAAAGUGAAAAUUCCUAGUUUUGGUUUUGGAGUGGCAGAAUAGGAGAAAUGUAUUUUGAGAGGGGUUUAAACAUAUUCAUAUUUGAAUUUGAAUAUGAACAGUACAUAAAAGUUGUUUGGACAUGAGUGAAAGUUAUACCAUUUUAAAUAGGUGGGAUUUUUACAAGAUUUUAGGAACUGGAAUUAUUGCAUUUGGUUUAAUAAUUAAUCCUGUGGAAUUUUUACAAGUUUGACAGAAAAGAAAAAGGAGAAGGGGCACUGUGUCUGUUGGGCUAGAACAGCCGCAGCGCAGCAGGCCCUGCCAGAGAGGCGGCCCAGCGCACUAGUGCACGCGCGCGCGCCAGGUUUAAACCUGACGGGCGGGGCCCAGGCGUCAGCGAGCCAGAGAGGGGCGAUGGAGAGGAGAGGCUGACAGGCGGGGCCCGCCUGUCAUCCCUAACACCACGACAGAAGCCAGCGAGCUCACCGGCGAUGUUUCCGGGCAUGGCGGGGUGAACUGAUGGCACGUCUGGACUCAGCAUUGAGUCGCUGUUUGGGUGGGGGUGGUCGACGUCGCCGGAGCUACCUAGUUCGCCAGUGAGGAGGAGGCAGGGCGACGACGCAUCGGGAGGUGGUCGCACCGGCCGUCUUUGGCUGAAAACAACGAGGAAAGGAGAGGGAAAGGGGUCAGCAAGGUGAGGCGGUUCUAGAUAGGGAAAGAACGGGGUGAAGGAGGUCUGUACCGCGAGAUCGACAGCGACCCGAGGCAGCGGAGCUCAAGCUCGAUCUCGAGCUCGGGCGCUCCUAGAGAUGAACUGGGGGUGCAGGGGGAUGAUUUGGAGUUGCAGGGGGUGAGUGGUGAGGAGAGGAAGGUUCGGGGAGGCCUUAUAUAGGCGGGCGACAGGGUGCCGUGGACCCGUGCGCCGGCGGGCUCCUACUCGUCGGCACAGGGCUCGGGAGGAGCUGGCGCUGUGUCUGGGGUGUUUUUGGCCGUGGACUACGCCGAGGGGAGCUAAGGGAGAGAGCAGGGUAAGGCCAGAGAUGCCGCGCGUGUGAGGCCGCUCAUUGGAGCUCUCAGGCGGCCGGCGCGCGUGCGAGCAGGGGCAGCAAGAGGGAGAAGGAGGAGGGGGACCAGGCCGUAGCAUAGUGUGGACACCGAGGAGCAUCGUCGGGCGCGCUGGGGAGGCCCGAGGUGGCCGAAGGUGCUUGGCAGGGGGCGGGUACAGUGCGGGAGCACACUGUAGCGCGCUCCAGAGCACCCAAAUGGCUGGCAUGGCCAUUUUCUAUGCAAUGUGGGUGCGGCCAAAGGUGUCUGGUAUCUCUAGGGGUAAGGAAAGAAGUGGGCUAUGGCCUUGGAUGCUUUGGGUGGCCAGUGGGUGAAGAGAGAGGAAGGAGAAGAGUGGAAAUGGGGCUGUCCAGAAUAGAAAAUUGGUGGUUUCAUCCCCUUGAUCAAUGGGCGUGUACUUGUGCUAAAUGCCAGAGGUAGAGGGAGGUUAGGAGGAGGUGUGGUAAAGGGGAGAACUCAUUUGGAUUAGUGGAAGAGGCCCAAACAGGGUUUUUAGCUAAAAUGCAGAAGGUGUUUGAUAUGGUUUUGUGGUACUUGCACUGAUUUCCUUCUUGUGAAACGUGGCAGGGGUGUUUUUCAUGACAAAAUGAUAGGGUAGAAGGAAGAUGAGCUCAUUUGGAAGAGUUUGCUAAUGUAACCUUGGCAAACCCUAGAAAUUAGCAGAAAUGAACUUGUGUAGAUCUAGUUGAGCAAAUCACUUCCCCUUGAUGCACCACUUGGUUUAGUAGCCUCAUUUGGUCAUGUGAAUAUUCUCACAAAAGUUGGGAUCAAGGAGAGAAAGUUGGUAGUACAAAGUUGUUCAAAUUUGAUUCUGGUGAGAGAGGGUUUUGGGACAUUUUGACGAGACAAAAUGACCUUGAUUGAUAUGAGGCUUUGCAAGGCGAUCACAAUAUGCAUUUGUGACUUGCUGGAUUUUCCCUGGAUUUUUAUGAAAAUAUUUCCUGUAGAAAUAUUUCAAAUCCUUGAAAUGGGCAUAAAUGGUUUUGGGAGGUUUUGUCCAAUAUUUUGAACAUGACCAUGUG
rnacentral:lncRNA from 1 species